rnacentral:rRNA from 1 species
AUUGAACGCUGGCGGCAGGCCUAACACAUGCAAGUCGAACGAGUGGCGGACGGGUGGGUAAUGUCUGGGAAACUGCCUGAUGGAGGGGGAUAACUACUGGAAACGGUAGCUAAUACCGCAUACCAUAAGAUGUGCCCAGAUGGGAUUAGCUUGUUGGUGGGGUAACGGGUCACCAAGGCCACGGUCCCUAGCUUGUCUGAGAGGAUGACCAGCCAACCUGGAACGUGGAAACGGUCCCGACUCCUACGGGAGGCAGCAGUGGGGAAUAUUGCAAAAUGGGCGAAAGCCUGAUGCAGCCAUGCCGCGUGUAUUAAGAAGGCCUUCGGGUUGUAAAGUACUUUCAGCGUGGAGGCGUUACCCGCAGAAGAAGCCCCGGCUAAAUCCGUGCCAGCAGCCGCGGUAAUAC